rnacentral:lncRNA from 1 species
ACAGUUAUAAAUUUUUACAAGCUAAACAAAAAAUGAAGCUAAAAGAGCAACAACAUAGUUAGUUUGUAUAAUAACUAUAAACUAAGAAACAUAAUCUCUAUAGUAGUACUAAAGUAUAUUUGAUAUCUAUUUAGCCUCUCAAAAGACCCGUUAAUUUAUGAACUUAAUUACUUAUGAAAACUUGUUUCAAGUUUUAUUUUCUUUUAAAACACUCUUGUAACCUUAAAUACCUUUUAUACUUUACCAAAAUGUUUAUGUAAUUUUGUAUUGAAUCCUUUGUUUAUUUUGCGAUCACAGGUAUCUUUAUAACAAACAUAUGUCUUUUGAAAACAACUUUAAAUAAAUUUAAUUCUGACCUACUUUAGAGCCCUCUUAACAUGAAGUAAGGUGAAUGGCAAAGUCUUAACUAAAUUAUCACAAAUAGACUUAUUAUUUUAUAUAUAAAUGUAUAUCAUUUAUAUAACAAUGAAACAUUGAUGUAUUAAAGCAAACAGAUGCAAGCUAUGUUUUUAAAUGGCAAUGUGGUCUUUUUCUAUAAGGUACAAUGUAUAAAAGAGAGCACUUACUGGUUACGUUGCCUGUAAACUUAAAUAAACUUUUAUUUUAUAAAUUUUACAAGGCUUAGACAAACAUAUUUAGUUCUCAGACGUAUACAUAUCUCUAGUUGCAUAUAUUUAGAAUGUUAACUAUAUUGCAAUUACUUAAAAUGCCAGUUGUUUGUUAACCAAUUAUGAAGUAAUCAUUUAAAAGAUUUCAAAGCCUUUAAAAACCCAAAUUCCUUUAAGACUUAAAUUCCCCUACAUAAUAAAGCCUAGCAGACACAACAGAUCACCUUGAUAAGAGCGAUAAAUGUUUUAAGAAAACCUUAAUGUUCUUAAAUAGAGAAUUAGACUUUGUUUUAUAUUAAUAUAUUAACAGUUGACCUUAGGGGGGGGAAAACCCCUAAGUUUAACUAACUGUGCUGCUUAUAGACAACUUAAUUACACACAAACUUUUUAGAUUUAUCUUCUAUGAACCUUUUGUAGUUUACAUAGACAUUUCACAACCAGUUCUUAUCUUUAAUUUUGUCCUCAUUUUAUCUUGAAGUUUAGGACAAAAAUAAUACCUAUACUACCAUAUACUUUUUUCAUCCAGAAAUAUUUUCUUUCCCCUUUCAUUUUUCUUACCAUAAUAUAU